rnacentral:rRNA from 1 species
UACGUAGGGUGCGAGCGUUGUUCGGAAUUACUGGGCAUAAAGCGCACGCAGGCGGCUUGCUAAGUCGGGUGUGAAAUCCCUUGGCUCAACCGAGGAACUGCAUUCGAUACUGGUAGGCUCGAGGACGGGAGGGGUAAGCGGAACUCCAGGUGGAACGGUGAAAUGUGUAGAUAUCUGGAGGAACACCGGUGGCGAAAGCGGCUUACUGGCCCGUAUCUGACGCUCAUGUGCGAAAGCUAGGGGAGCAAACGGG